rnacentral:rRNA from 1 species
UAGGACUCCCGACAAUGGAUAUCUUGGCUCUCGCAUCGAUGAAGAGCGCAGCGAAAUGCGAUACGUGGUGCGAAUUGCAGAAUCCCGUGAACCAUCGAGUUUUUGAACGCAAGUUGCGCCUGAGGCCAACUGGCCAAGGGCACGUCCGCCUGGGCGUCAAGCAUUGUGUCGCUCC